rnacentral:rRNA from 1 species
CCCCCAACUUAUGAAAAUUUGAC